rnacentral:lncRNA from 1 species
UGAGAAACACUCAAAGGCAACCAAACAACCACUCACUUUCACCACCCCCUCCUCACACAUAUAAAAGACCCUGUGAGCCAUUCAACCAAUUAGGCACGUAGAGGUGUUGUAAUUCCAUUGCACAAAUGAAUAUUUAAAAGAUGAGUAUUUAUUGUAAAGCGAAGACCAUGCAGUGAAUUUGAGCUCAUCCAUCAUCAGUUUCCAAUCCACGAGUGCUUGCUGAAAAAUACAUUUGUUUCUCUUAUUCCAUAUACACAGCAGAACAUUACUCCAAAUAGACUUCCACACUUCCAAUUCAUACUUAGACCUUCCCAAGCCUGUUAUGUGCCAGAAAUGACCUUCCAACAUAGCAGGGUUGACAGUGCCAAAGUUCAGAGAUAUCCAUGAAUAACAUUUAUUCCAAAUAUUGCUCACGACACCACAUGAUAAGAAUAAGUGUUGAACACUCUCAGGUUGUAGUUGGCGGAAAGGGCAUACUGUUUCUGAAUCAAGCACGAUGAUAUUGCAUUUGUUUAAUAUUAUCACGAGUUGGUAAGCGAUUUUUCAAGGCCCUCCAAAGCAGCAUGCCAACUUUAUUUGGAAUUCUGAGUCUCCAAAGAUCCGUGUAAAUGUUUUUUGGUUCUUCAAUUGAGCCUACAACUAGCAAAGCUUUGUAUGUUGUAUUUGUUGUAUAUGUUCUAGAAGGGAACCACUUCCAAAUCCAAGAAUCUAAGCAAGAAUGGUAUACUUGCACAGUGUCCAAAAUAGAAAAUAAAUUGUUAAUGAGGACAUUCUCCCACUCAAAGGUUGUCCUCCUCCAAGACAAUUCCAAGCACCAUCUCUCACCUAUCCACUAACCCAAAGAUCCAAUUAGAUUUUCCUUAUGAUCUGAGAUAAGGAAUAAUCUAGGGAAUAAAUAUGUUAAACUUUGCCCUCCAACCCACUCAUCUAACCAAAAUCUCAUUUUGUCCCCAACCCAGUCAUCCAUACAAGUCCCUUCUCAAACCAUUUUCUUGAUUCAAACCCCCACAAACACUCUUUAGAUCUCUCUACCAUAAUGACUCAUUAGACAACCCUCUUUCCCUCACAAGCUCUUGCCAACCUCUAUAUUUUGAAAUAAAAACUUCUCUCCAUAAGCCUCCCUCUUGGUGAAAGAGAUUCCACCUCCACUUACCAAACAAAGCCUCAUUAAAGAAUUUUAAGUUCUUAACCCCUAAACCACCCCCAUUCUUGCUUUUACAAAUAUCAUCCCAAGCAACCCAAGGAAUCUUUCUUUUCUCCUCAUCCCCCCCUCCCCCGAAAGGAACCUCCUUUGAAUCCCCUCUAAUUUCACACCCACUAACUUUGGCAUUUUGAAAAAAAAAAAUAGAAAAAACAAUGGCAAUGAAGUCAAAACAAAAUUGAUCAAACAAAUCCUUCUCGCAAAUGACAUUUGCUUGUUUUUCCAAAGAGCCAAUUUUUUCUUGAAUUUUUGGAUGACGAUUGGCCACAUAUCCAUCUUCCUAGGAUUAUCCCCAAUGAGAAUACUUAGGUAGACAAAAGGUAGAAACAAUACUUUACAAUUCAAGAAAGCGACAUAUCUUUCUGCCACCCCAUCCUCCACACCAAUCGAACUACAACAACUUUUGUAAAAGUUGACUUUCAAUCAGGAUACCAACUUGAACAUCCUUAACAUUAUUUUGAUGGUAAACACAUUUUCCACAUUUUCCUCUCCAAUGAAAAUUGUAUUGUUGGAAUAUUGUGGCAAGCUAAUGUUACAUCCAUUGUCUCCCAUCACAUAUCCUUCAAACGUCAUUUUUCCACCACUCCCCUUAUUAAACCACUAAGCCCUUCCGCCACCACCAAAAAGAGAAAAGGAGCCAAAGGAUAUCCUAGACAGAGCCCCUUUAGGCUCUUGAAUUCUUGGGAUGGGCUACCGUUCAACGAGACGAAAGACCAAGAAGACUCAAAACAAACCUUAAUCUGUUUCACCCAUAUAUCAUGGAAUCCCAAUCUUUGUAACAUAUAAAUAAGGAAAUCCCAUGCCACCGAGUCUUAACCUUUUCAAAAUCCACCUUGAGUAGAAUACAAUUUCUUUUUCUUCUCUUAUCCACCACUUCAUUUGCAACUAGAGCACUAUGUAGGAGUUUUCUUCCACCAAGAAAAGCGCUUUGUCUAAGAUCAAUCAUCUUACUCAAUACCAUACAUAGUCUAUUUGCUAACAAUUUAUCCACAAUUUUAUAAAUGCAACCACCAAAGAAAUAGGCCUAGAUUAAUUAAAUUGAGUGUUUCUAUAUUGUGAGAGCUUCCAUUUUAUUCUUGGGUUAAAGAACUUUAUAGUGUUGAUUCUACUGGCAGGUCGUGAUUAAGGUCACACUUUCUCUUGAUAACCUUGGUUAUAUCGGCAGGUUAUGGUUAGAGUCAAGUUUCUCUUUCUAUCCUUUACCUGUUUUUCAAGAUGAUUUGUUCAUAGAUUCAUAUCAUUAUUAAUAACUAGAAAAAAUAGGUAAAGUAAUUUUAGUAGGUACUCAUGAGUACGGA